rnacentral:rRNA from 1 species
GGCAGCAGCUAAGAAUAUUCCGCAAUGGUCGAAAGACUGACGGAGCGACGCCGCGUGAAUGAUGAAGGCCGUGAGGUUGUAAAGUUCUUUUCUGGAGGGAGAAUAGGUGUUGUAGGGAAUGACAACAUGAUGACGUGAAUCCAGGAAUAAGCCCCGGCUAACUACGUGCCAGCAGCCGCGGUAACACGUAGGGGGCAAGCGUUGUUCGGAAUUAUUGGGCGUAAAGGGUGCGCAGGCGGCUUGGCAAGUCUGCUGUUAAAUGGUUGAGCUCAACUCAAUCAUGCGGUGGAAACUAUCAAGCUAGAAUCAACGAAGGGAUGCCGGAAUUCCAGGUGUAGGGGUGAAAUCUGUAGAUAUCUGGAAGAACACCAAUGGCGAAGGCAGGCAUCUGGCGACUGAUUGACGCUGAGGCACGAAGGUGCGGGGAGCAAACAGGUUUAGAUAUCCUGGUAGUCCGCACAGUAAACGAUGUGCACUAGGUGGCGGGUAGCAGUACUCGGUACCGAAGCAAACGCAUUAAGUGCACCGCCUGGGGAGUAUGCUCGCAAGGGUGAAACUCAAAGGAAUUGACGG